UGGGGUGUAUACGUGCCUCUGCCCUAAGCAAAUGGAAUUUUAAACCAACUGUCAUUUUAGAUGGAUCACCCAGUUGGCAUGUGGACGUCUGCUAUUCUCUUGAGCUUUUAAGAGGCUGUUGAUAUACUUCCAGUCAGAGAGGACAAGAGCCUCCAGGGUGGCCUUGGGAAAGGAAAGAGUCAAGGAAUUGGAGAGGUAUUUAAGAGAAGCAGUUUAUAGGACUUCAUUUCCAUAACAGCAGAACAUCUGGGAGUGGGAGUUGUUAAAGACAGAUUACUGCACCAAGAGUAAAGUUUGAUUGAGAGGCUGGGAGAGGACUCAGCCAUCCAAAGCUUCCCUUGAAGGCCAGUGAUACCCCAAGGGGCAAGCUAACGACGCAUGUCUGGGAAUUCUUCCAAUGGCUCUCCUCCUUUCCUUAGCCCCUGCCUCUGAGGCAGUGGCUGUGUCCAAUGGAGGACUCAUGACUUCCAUCUGUAAGCUCUCCCUCCCAGUUAGUCCACUGUCUCCCUGGGGAGAGCCAAUGCACAUCAGAGUAUCAGUAUUAAAAACAACUUCUCAGCUAGAUUCCUCUCAGACAUCUAGUACAUCAAAAUCCCUCUCACCCUAAUUCCUUUUCCUCCUCUCUCCCUCCGCCACUGGGACUAGGUUCUUCUCUUAGCUCUUGGGGUGCCUUCUGCAUCCCCCCGGCCCCCUCUGUACCCUCCAUGUUCCGGUUCCAGGUUCUUCCUGGACUGAGCAGUAGGGGAAAAGGAGCAUCUGGUUUAGCAAAAGAUUUGAAGGUGACCUUCAUCGAGCCCUAAGAGAGAUAACAAUCUCUCUGCAAUCAACGAGCCUGGCUCCUCUGGAUACCAAAAUAGCAACUGUGGAGUAAGUCUGCCCCCUCCACCUCCUUCCCCUCCCUUUUUCUUCAGGACAACACAAAGAAA